GGUUGGUAGAGCCAUCUGAGUAGGGAAAACAAACACAAGUAGGAGUAAACUGAAGAAAAUUUUUCUUCUUACGUGUCGUCUUUGUGCAUGUUUUCUCUGAGACCAUUUGUUCAUGUGCCUGUAUAGACAGCUGACCUAGAAAACUUGGCCCGAGGACCUGAAACCACUAUUUGUACCACUUGAAACACAGACUCAUCUUGUCAUCAUAGCUAGGAUUAAAGCCUGUUUUCAAAGAUGUGUCCUGCUGAAGUUAAAAGUGUUACACUUCUCGAUGUCUCAACAUACAGUGUUUUCCAUGUGGAUUUGGCUGAACCCAUUCUAUCAGUGAUCACUGUACCUAACAUAUUUACUGUGGAACGAUGACUAGACCACUAAGGAGAAGGGAUACAGUUCAAAGGCUCAGCUGCCAAUUUCUUCAGCUUGUCAGCUCAAUCUGGAUUCCAGCCUGUCCUACAAUUUGAAAGCAAACUCUGCAGUAUAAUAGAAUCUGUAGCUGUAGCAAGCAUAUUUUAUAUUUCAUCACCCAGCUCACUAAAUGGAAAACAAAACCCCAAUGUGUAUAAGACAGAACCUGUCAGGAGUGAGUUUUGUAUUUGAGAUAUUUUUGGAUUUUAAUGUUGAAGCACUGAACUUUCCCCUUGGUAUGGUACCCAGCUAGUUAGGCAUCUAUCUUAUGGUAUUUCUCCAUAGGAGGGUUCCUUACGAGAAGAUAAAAAAGUCACUGAGGUCAAGCUGGACAGUCCUGCAAGACCAUGUAAACAGACCUGCCUACUGGUUUUUGCCAUACCAGUGUGGCUACAGUGGGGAAGGCAUCACCCAGGCUGCCACAGAGGUCUGAGGCACUCAUGACUUGGAAGAGGUUUAGAUAAACUCUUGGAAGAUGUUAGUGGCUGUUCAUAAUGACUUGAAAGCCACCUGCUGCAGAGAGAUCCUGGUGAUGGCUAGAGGCUGAGGGGUAGAGAAGAGACUGUGCCUGGCACUACCUAAAGAUAUGUUUUCAUGGGUCAUCUAUUACUUGGGUUAAUAUCCACUUGUGGCCAAUAAUGAAAGUGGCCAUCCUUUGGUCUAGAUUUAGCUAAGGUGCUGAAAACCAAACACCCAGUGGAGUCUGAGCAGUAUCCUCAAUUCAGGCAUUGACAUUUCGCCGUCCCUUCUUUAAAGGUUCUACACCACUUAUAUAAUGCAUAAUGUUAUGUGCAAGUUGGUAGUUCUCGCCAUCAAGGUGAUACCUUGAUUUCUAUUAUGUUUAAGUGGAUUUUUCUUUUCUGUAAAACUGUAAGCCAGAAACAUGAUUGAAAGGCCAGAGUAAGGUAACAAAUGUUAAUUUUCUUGUAUGGUAUGUUAUAUGCUAUAAGUGAAAGCCAGAAAUCAGAAGCUUUUCAAUUUGACACAUAAUGAUUGCCCUUAGAUAUUGGCCUGCUUUAUUUACAAGAUGUUAAAAAUUACAUUGUGAAUACUCAUAUGAUCAUAAUAAAAUGAUUGCCUGCAGAAGUGUGAAUUCCAUUUAGCCUUUACAAAGGAGCACUUAGUGGGCUUUGUACUGCGUGGGCAUGACCUUAGAAAAGGCCUAUCAUUUGACUAUGAAAACAUGGCUUAGUUCCAGUGCUAACAACAUUGCUCUGCUAAAAUAACUUUGGUGGGCACAACGACCUAUAAUUUUUGUAACACCACUGAAAAAAGUGUUUUCUUUACAGUAGUGUUAAUUUUGUACAGGAUAGAUUUUUUGUAUAUAUUAAUAAUAUUGGUUUGAUUAGCUAUUUUUAACAAAAUUGUGAAUUGUGAACAAGCAUCUUUGGGUGCUUUUUUCAGUGAAGGGUGAAAACACUCAGGUCCCACAUUAGCACUGUUCUGUACUUGAUUCUAUUAUCUCACCAUUUCGGUUUUUAUGUGAAUCUCAACAGAGCAACCAGAGUAAUAUCAGUACUAUACUAUCAGUAAUAUACUAUCAAAUGGUACAAAAAUAUGAUGAUGACGAAAAUAUGACAGUGUGCACUCAGAAUUAUAACCUGAAAAAUGCACCAAUGGAAUAGAAAUUGUUCCUCUGACCCUGUUCCCACUCAGUCUGGUUACAGAGCAAUUGAACUCAGAAUACCUCAGUAGUAAUUCCUGAUUUUCACCAGAGUGAAUAUGGCCCAGGGAAUAAUAUAUUUGCCAUCAGUUCACACUGACUGUUACCUUUUCUUUACUUCAGCUGACGUGUAUGAUAAGACUGACUAUUUUCUAGGCUGUAUCCUCUCACUUAUGUCAUCACUGACGGCAAUAAAAUGAAGACUGUAAAAUACAGCCAUUUCAGCUAAAUUGUGAGCUACGACUGCAUGAGGUUAAGGGCUCAUGACAUGUAUGCAUCCUUGCUGUGAACACUACAGAAGAGGUGUUUUUGUAUCAACUCCAAAGAAUUUGGGUGAGAGCAAGUGCCUUUUUCACUUUUUGGUUCUGUUUGCCUUGACAAAAUUCUGCUAUCCAAAACCCCAAGGGAAAAUAUUUCAACAAAGAGACAGUCUUCAGUGAUUAAACUGUCGUGAAACAGAGAUUAAGUUGGUGGGAUUGACUGGCUCUCACCGUGCCUUGACGCAGCUGUGGCUUGGAUGAGCAGGACUGGUUAUGAGUCAAUCUGACUAGGAUGGGAUCAUGCCAGAGGUCAGGGGAAGAAGCUAGUUACAGAAGCACAGGCAGCUAUUUUCUCCUUCAGGUUUUCUUAUUUUAAUGCUGGUGAUUUGUGACACUUACUGAAUGAAGAAAGUGUCCCCAGCACGUCUUCAUCAUCAUGGACCCUUGUUACUUGGAGUGAUGCUGCUGGGGUCCAUUAGCUCCAACCCUCACCUUCAGCACGGCCAAUGCGAGAAUGUGAAAGAUCUCUUUGCAAGAGACAGUCAAAGCCUGGGGAGCCACCCUGGUUUCCUACACUACUUGAGCAGACAGGCCAGGACCUCAUUUUAAGGGAUUUCUACAUGGCUUCAUUACUGAAGCAACUGGAAAUCAGGGAAAACUGUUGGUAAAGGUGAUGUCUGUCAUUCCAUAUUCUGGCUCCGCCCCAUUUUCCUCUUUGCUCUUUAUUCUAUUCCUCCUGAAGGAACAGUGUGUCAGCCUCAUUAGAUAGUGUCCUUGUGUAAUAGCAAAGAGGCUUCAACUGCUGACUUUGAGACAUGAUGUUCUGUUGAAAAGUGAGGGAAGUGUAUUAUGGAGAUAAAUUUUUGUCUCAGUUCACUAAACUACAUGAUUUGUUGACCAGCAAAUGAUGUCAUGAAGCCUGUUGAUUCCCCCUAAGGGGCACAAUAUGCAAGAAGGUACUGGUGCCUUGUUCUCUUACAUGGGUUUGAAAGGAUCUGGAAAGACUGUUGCAUACUGACAUGAAGAGACUGCUUUGAACACAAACAUGUAUCACAGAAAAGUUUAAAGAAAUGUCAAAGUUCUGAACUAAUAAAGUAAAACUGGAAUGACGUGCAUAUCAAUAAAGGCAAGAAAUGAUGUCCAUA